rfam:Sphaerobolus stellatus SS14 unplaced genomic scaffold SPHSTscaffold_1, whole genome shotgun sequence.
CUCUGAGUAGCUCAGUUGGAAGAGCGUCAGACUGUAACGGAUACCUCAUCUGAAUGUCACUGGUUCGAUCCCGGUCUCGGAGA